ensembl:rRNA 5S_rRNA 5S ribosomal RNA
GUCUACGGCCAUACCACCCUGAACCCGCCCGAUCUCGUCUGAUCUCAGAAGCUAAGCAGGGUCGGGCCUGGUUAGUACUUGGAUGGGAGACUACCUGGGAACACCAGGUGCUGGAGGCU